UUUGCACUGUCUUGAAAAGGUAACAAAAUGACAACUGCUAACGGUGGAUCUCUUGGCUCGUGCAUCGAUGAAGAACGUAGCCAGUUGCGAUAAGUAGUGUGAAUUGCAGAAUGAAGUGAAUCAUCGAAUCUUUGAACGCAAAUUGCACUCUCUGGAUCUCCAGGGAGUAUGUCUGUCUGAGCGUCGUGUUAAACCUAAACACUUCGGUGUUGCUUGGGAGUUCUUGCAUCACAGCUCAUGCAAGUCUCUUUAUGUGCCUUCGGCUUGUUCGUGUAACUCUCUGUAUUACUGAACAGAAAGCUCAACUUGCUUCUGCCUUUCUGACAGUUUUCAGUUGGUUAUUUAUUGCGAGCGAGUCCAAUGCUCGUGGUAGUGCACAAACUCCACAAUAACUUACUCUCUCUUCUCGAAGUAACAUUCUUGGAGUGUGGUAAAACCAUCAAUGACCUCAGAUCAGCAGA
rnacentral:rRNA from 1 species